UACGUAGGGUGCAAGCGUUAAUCGGAAUUACUGGGCGUAAAGCGUGCGCAGGCGGUUUUGUAAGUUUGUCGUGAAAGCCCCGGGCUCAGCCUGGGAAUUGCGAUGAAGACUGCAAGGCUUGAAUCUGGCAGAGGGGGGUAGAAUUCCACGUGUAGCAGUGAAAUGCGUAGAGAUGUGGAGGAACACCGAUGGCGAAGGCAGCCCCCUGGGUCAAGAUUGACGCUCAUGCACGAAAGCGUGGGGAGCAAAAGG
rnacentral:rRNA from 1 species